rnacentral:rRNA from 1 species
UACGGGGGGAGCAAGCGUUGUUCGGAUUUACUGGGCGUAAAGGGCGCGUAGGCGGCCAGCACAAGUCAGUUGUGAAAUCUCCGGGCUUAACUCGGAAAGGUCAACUGAUACUGUGCGGCUAGAGUGCAGAAGGGGCAACUGGAAUUCUCGGUGUAGCGGUGAAAUGCGUAGAGAUCGGGAAGAACACCAGUGGCGAAAGCGCUCUACUGGGCCAAAACUGACACUGAGGGACGAAAGCUAGGGGAGCGAAAGGG